CANGCCUAACACAUGCAAGUCGAACGGUAACAGGAAGCAGCUUGCUGCUUCGCUGACGAGUGGCGGACGGGUGAGUAAUGUCUGGGAAACUGCCUGAUGUGAGGGGGAUAACUACUGGAAACUGGUAGCUAAUACCUGCAUAACUGUCGCAAGACCAAAGAGGGGGACCUUCGAGGCCUCUUGCCAUCGGAUGUGCCCAGAUGGGAUUAGCUAGUAGGUGGGGUAACUGUGACUACACCUAGGCGACGAUCCCUAGCUGGUCUGAGAGGAUGACCAGCCACACUGGAACUGAGACACGGUCCAGACUCCUACGUGGAGGCAGCAGUGGGGAAUAUUGCACAAUGGGCGCAAGCCUGAUNGCAGCACAUGCCAGAGUAGUAUGAAGAAGUGCCUUACGGGUUGUAAAGUACUUUCAGCGGGGAGAG
rnacentral:rRNA from 1 species